UGCCCGCUGACCAAGGAUCACUGUGGC
rnacentral:piRNA from 1 species